AAGUCGGUGGAGCAUGUGGUUUAAUUCGAAGCGAACGCGAAGAACCUUACCAGGUCUUGACAUCCCUAGACAACCCAAGAGAUUGGGCGUUCCCCGUUCGGGGGACAGGGUGACAGGUGGUGCAUGGUUGUCGUCAGCUCGUGUCGUGAGAUGUUGGGUUAAGUCCCGCAACGAGCGCAACCCUCGCCUCUAGUUGCCAGCAUUCGGUUGGGCACUCUAGAGGGACUGCCGGCGACAAGUCGGAGGAAGGUGGGGAUGACGUCAAGUCAUCAUUGCCCCUUAUGUCUUGGGCUGCACACGUGCUACAAUGGCCGGUACAAUGGGCUGCGAUGGGGUGACCCGGAGCGAAUCCCACAAAACCGGCCCCAGUUCGGAUCGAAGGCUGCAACUCGCCUUCGUGAAGUCGGAGUUGCUAGUAAUCGCGGAUCAGCAUGCCGCGGUGAAUACGUUCCCGGGCCUU
rnacentral:rRNA from 1 species